rnacentral:rRNA from 1 species
UGACGCGGUGAAUACGUUCCCGGGCCUUGUACACACCGCCCGUCAAGCCAUGGAAGUUGGGGGUACCGUAAAGUACGUAACCGCAAGGAGCGUCCUAGGGUAAAACCGAUAACUGGGGCU